ACAGUUAAUAUGUUCGUGAGAGAAACCAUUUUCUUUCUUUUACUUCUUCUAAAAACUGAGUUCGCCCUAGCCGCUUCUCUCUCUCACAACCACCAAAGAGUCGUUUUCCAGUGACGUCGCUAGAUCUGGGUUUCCGUCUUGCUGUAGUCACCGCUGUCUACUAGGUAUGUUCGUGUCGUGUUAUGAGCUCGCCGGAGAUUCGCCUCUCAGAUCUUGUUCCUUCGCUUCCACUGUUGGUUUUGCUCCACACCGUGUCGGAGUCGUUGUCUCCUCUUCUCCUCUCGAGUUUCAGACAUUGCGGACGAAGACACUUUGGCAAUCGAUAAAGACGUCUUUCACGAACUCUGUUUGCAGCAAUGGUUGAGUACUGCCCGAGUAUGAACAAGCGAAAUUGUCUGAUAUGAGCAGAAAACAGAGAAUGCUGAAGUCUCCGAUAAGUUGCAUCAAUGCAAUGAGCAAUUGAAGGAGAAUAAAGGAAAAAUGUGAGAGUCUCUGCAAGAAAUUUCAACGACUCAGCACUUGCUUAAGUUAAAAUCUGAGGUUUUUGAUUAUACUCAACAUUAGAUGCUUUUGUUUCUAAUUAUCCUCCAUUUGGUGUUGAGUUUCUUAUUAUGUUUUGUCCAGGAAUGUAUCUAGCUUACUUCACAGUGUGCUAAGCUAAAGGAGAGAACUAUUAUGUCUCGUUUUUACUUCUCAAAUCAACAAAAAAACAAUUGGAUUUUCUUUUAUUUUUUAGGAUCCAAAGAAGGGAAUGCAUAUAGAGAAGAAUCUAUUCAGCGAAACAAAGAGAGCAGCGGAGAGGUGGCAGAGAGGUGGCGGAGGAGAGCGGCGGCGGAGGAGAGCGACGGCGGAGGAGAGCGACGGCGGAGGAGAGCGGCGGGGAGCAAAAACCUUUUUCCGUUAAAGCAUUUUUUAAACAAAUUGUUUUGAUAUUUUAAUUUAAUCUAUAAUCUCCAAAUUUUUUUAUUAUUAAAACUAUAUGACGAGGCCACAUAUUAGUUAAUGUGGCUACUAAUCCACGGACAUUUACCUGGCAAAUUCGUGGCUAUAUGAAGCUAAUAGUUAGGUAGCAUUCAGUUGCUUUGUGUAUCAAACAUAUACAGUAAAUCGUAGCAAAUAGUAGCAUUUGCCCACAA